AUCGGAUUCAAUAUGGCGGACGAAGAAGAACACCCCGAUAGCAGCGGCAAAGAAGUGAGGGCGAUUUUCUUUACUUUAUUGUUUGAUUUCGAGGGAGAUAAUAUAAGAUAUUGAAACUAUGUUAUGUUAAGAUUGUCGCUUAGGUUCUAAUGCGUUACUUUUGUUUCAGGAGGAAAGUUCUAGCGCUGGCAAAAGAAAGCGUCUUUUCCACAAGGAGUGUAAGUAUAU